UUCCAUCUGGAAGAAUCUGGAGACAGGUGCUGCAUGGCUGUCGUCAGCUCGUGUCGUGAGAUGUUGGGUUAAGUCCCGCAACGAGCGCAACCCUUGCCUUUAGUUGCCAGCAGUUCGGCUGGGCACUCUAAAGGGACUGCCGGUGUUAAACCGGAGGAAGGUGGGGAUGACGUCAGGUCCUCAUGGCCUUUAUGACCAGGGCUACACACGUACUACAAUGGCCGAUACAAAGGGCAGCGACACUGCGAGGUGAAGCCAAUCCCGUAAAAUCGGUCUCAGUCCGGAUUGGAGUCUGCAACUCGACUCCAUGAAGUUGGAAUCGCUAGUAAUCGUGGAUCAGCAUGCCACGGUGAAUACGUUCCCGGGCCUU
rnacentral:rRNA from 1 species